GGAUGUGAGGGCGAUCUGGCUGCGACAUCUGUCACCCCAUUGAUCGCCAGGGUUGAUUCGGCUGAUCUGGCUGGCUAGGCGGGUGUCCCCUGACUCCCUCACCGAUCCAUGUGCGUCCCUCCCGAAGCUGC
rnacentral:snRNA from 1 species